AGGGAGGUAGCUGCAGCUCUGUAGUAGAGCAUCUCCUUUGCAUGCAGAAGUUCCCAAGUUCGAUCCCUGGCAUCCCCA